UGAUGAUGAGGAGGAUAAUUUCUGAGCAUACCUUUGAAUCUCUCCCAAGCUUGGUAGAGAUUUUCUCCAUUUUUCUGUCUAAAACUCAAGAGUUCACUCCUCAAUUG
rfam:Capsicum annuum cultivar Zunla-1 chromosome 9, whole genome shotgun sequence